ensembl:lncRNA
ACGGGGAUUUGAGCCCCCAAAAGCCGGACAUGUCCGGGAAAAUCCGGACGUAUGGUAACCCUAGUGGAACUAUCGAGUGUGGAACAGGAUUAACUGAUCAUAUUUCCAGUGCAUGUUGAUUUCAGCACUUAAUACAACCCGUGGCUGUAACUGUGAGCUGGCCAAGACUUGAUUAACAUAGACACAAAGAAAUCUGACUUCUUCCAACCCUGCAGGAAUCUCGUCAUUUUCUUCCAGUUUUACCUUUGUGACCAGCCUUCUGUAGAAGAAUUGGAGUGUCGUAGAUUUUAACUAGCGCUUUUCUUGCCCCUUCUCUUUUUUUAGAGCAAAGAAACCCUGCUCCUGGAAUUAGUAAGUCAAAUUCGAUACAUUAAGGGACUCUGUAAGUGGAGGAAUUAUAAGCACGAGGGAAAUACAGAAGGGAAAACUGUUACAUUGCGUAGGGUGAAAUAGUAAAUACACUGAAAAGGGGCUGUGGGUCGGGAUUGAGGGGCCCUGACAGCCGUGGGGAUGGGGGAGCCCCUGGCUGCGAUAGUAGGGGUGCCGGUUGGGGUUCAGGGGCACAAGCAGAGCUGUGCGUUGGGGAAGCCCACAGCUGUGAUAGCGGGGUCUGUGGGUCAGGGCAUCGGCAGAGCUGGGGGACAUAAAGGGGGAAGCUCAGGGCUGGAGGUGAGGAUUAAGGGGCACCAGCAGAGCUGUGUGGUGAGAAAUUUUUCACUGUUCCUUCAUAAUCUCUCCCGCACAAUGGAGUUCCCAGAGUUAGGGGUUAGGGAGUCGGGAUUCCUGGUUUCUAGUCUCAGCUCUUCCACUAACUCACCACAUGCCCAUGGAGAUGAAGGUAGUUACACAAUGUCAGAGAGACACAGAAAUAGAAGCCAGGAAUGCUGGCUGGCAGCCCCCACUGCUCUCACCACUAGACCCUGCUCCCCUCCCAGAGCUGGGAGAGAACCCAGGAGUCCUGGGAUCUUGGCCCUCAUUCCCUUAAUCUUUGCCCUGCCAUCAUCUCAGAUCUGCAAAGCUUUGACCUGUGUCAGCUGUUGGCUGUUGACUCCCACUCCUCUGUCUUGCCCUCUCCAAGGUAACAUUAGACUGGAGAACACUGUGGGUAUUACACCAAUUAGUCCAGCCGUGCAGCUCAGUGCAGUGGUGAACGGCCAAGCUGUGUCUAUAGACCUGGUGCCCACCAUCCGGAAUAAAGUGGACAUGUCCAUGGAUUGGCCGCAGCAGGAUCUGAGGUGGCUCUCCGACUGGUGGGACCGGGAGCAGGGCACUGAGCAGAGAAAACCCACCUGGAAUACCGAGGAAAUUUACAAAACUGGGACCGAUCUGGUGGCCAAGAAUUCGUACUGGAGGCUCACCUUCUCCCUGGCGGAGACCCAGUUCCUCAAGGACAUUGACGCCGAUGGUGGGUGCAGGCAGAAGGCGCUGCGGGUGCUGAAGCAAAUCAACAUGGAGAAGUGGGUACCGCACUACGGCAAAGUCCUGACCUCCUACCACCUGAAGGUAACUCAGACGGGGGAGCCAGGGUGGGAGGGGGUGGAGAAUGGGUGA